AUUUGGCCUAAAGAAUGAGUUUUCACCCUCAUUUUACAAAGAAACAUUUUAGAAACAGAAACCCUUUCAAAAAACAAAAAUCACUUCUUCCAGAGAAUGCAUAAAUCAGAGAUGAGCAGAAGUAAAGCUCCAAUAGUCUUCAUCACAGCUAUCCUGGCACCUCGCUUUCUCUACAUCGGCUUUCCUCGCCAUCUUCUGUCGCGCUCCAUUUCUUCUACCGCAAAAUUAAGAAUCACUCCCUCCAAAUAAGUGACCUUCCCUCUUCUUAUCCCUUCUAUAGCAAGGAUAUGUGCUCCUUCGACUCCUUGAUGUAGGCACUUAUAACAGAUUUGUCAUAUUGUUCGAUUUGCAGUUUCCUGAUAAUCGAAUGGGCAUCCCCUCCAAUUAUCACUUUUCGAAAUCCCAAAUUGAAUCCUAUUUGUACUGCUUGAAGACAGGCCAAUGCUUUAGCCGUAAAAGGAGAAGGUAUAUAUCUAUUAAGAAUGAUUCUUGAACCCAACACUUGCCCAUCUGAAUUCCUAUAUACCAAAUCCGAACAUGAUUCUUUUGUGUGAUUCUUGAAAGCUGCAUCAAAUUUUAUUUCAAUAAAAUCUGGAUUUGGUGGGCGCCACCUUUCCACCAUAAUCUCUUGACCAGAUGACCCAAAGAGUACAAAACACCUUUCUACACUUGCGCGCUGAAAUGUGGUGCAAUCUCGAAAAACAUGCUCUGUCAUUUCAGUUCCAUCUAAGCAUCGAGGUAGAUUGCUGAAAUUUGAAGCCUUCUGCAGUGGAGAUUGCUAUAUGUUGGAAUGUAGUUAUUAAAGAGCCUCUAUAUUGUAAUAUUUAUUUUUGUGGCAAAUCUGUCUACCACAUUUCUUGUAGAAAAUGGUGUAAUCAUUAUUGUAGCGACUAGGUUUAGAUGUAUCCCCUCCCUAUAACAAUAGUUUGUAACCACUCCAAAUUGUAUACUAACCAGUUGCCUCACUCCGCCAGACCCUCCUAUCUUCCAAGGGUGUUGGGAUAGUGAAAUACAAAGGAUGUACUAAGCUUCUUCCGAGGAAAAUAUCUGGUAAUAAGAUUUCUCUUCCAA